GGAGGGUCUGUGGCCCAAUGGAAGAGUCUCUGCUUCGCAUGCAGAAGGUUCCGGGUUCAAUCCCUGGCACCUCCA
rnacentral:tRNA from 1 species